AUGACUUUGAUCUCCAUCCUCAUCUGGACUGUCCUCUGCUGCUGCUUCACAGAGUCCAGAGGCCAGGUCACAGUGACUCAGCCUGAAGCAGUGAGCUCUGCUCUGGGAGGCUCCGUCACCAUCAGCUGUAGAACCAGUCAGGAUGUCUUUGUUUGGAACAACAACCACUAUUUAGCCUGGUACCAACAGAGACAUGGAGACAAACCUAAAUUGAUUAUUUAUGAUUCUUCCACUCGAGUAUCAGGGAUUCCAGCUCGUUUUACAGGCAGUGGAUCAAACUCUGACUUCACUCUGACCAUCAGUGGAGUCCAGGCUGAAGAUGCAGCAGUUUACUACUGUCAGAGUCAACACUAUAUCAACAGUCAGUGGGUGCUCACACAGUGAAAAAGCAUCAUACAAAAACCUCCCUCAGUCAGACUGAACAGAAACUGAAGUGACUGCUGCAGCUGGAAACUACUGCAGAGACUGAUACACUUCACUGAGGACACACACACACACACACACAAAUGUGAAUAUAUAUCCAUAUACAAAGACUUUAACAUACAAAUAAUGUGUUAUAUUUUCGUUCACGCCAUCAAUAAAUCAGUCUCUAUGCUGAUGACUUCUUGUUAUACAUCCCAAAAAUUCUCAUUUUUCCUUCUUUCAUUUACUAAUCAGACCAGACUUUAAAGCAGGCUUUAUGGCUGCAUUCUCUAAUUUCUGAUGUCCAUUA